UUCUUUAUCAAGGUUAACGUGUGCAAUAAAGAGCCCAGUUUCAGUGUCCAAUUUAUUAAUAUCUCAGUGUGUUUAUGGAAGGAGUGGAAACCAGGGCUGCAGUAGAUUCACCGGCGACCAUGAAUGAGGUGGUUAUGGACUCCACUACUACCGUUUUCACUCCACCUCGUUAUCAGUGCCACCCCAUGGAGAGCGGACGGUGGGGAAAAUUGGUAUUAGCAUACAAGACAUUAGGAGUGGUGUUUGGAGGCCUUGUGACGUCACCGUUGUAUGUGUACCCAUCAAUGCCUUUGAAUUCUCCAACGGAGG
rnacentral:misc_RNA from 1 species